AGUCAUUCUAGAAAACAAAGAAGCUCAGGUCGACUUAAAGGCAGCCCCAAAUUCAGCCCACAGCAGUUGGCUACUGCCUUUUGUGGCCGUCCCGCAGAUCUGUAAUUAACAAGGAGACUGAAGUCUGCACAAGGUGGAGCCUAAGAGAACUCAUCCGGCUGCAGGGGUCGUGUCACGCCACCCAGGAGGUGUUCAAGCACUGCGCCCCAGAGCUGCCUGAACGUGUCCGGAACCAAAGGUUCCACUGGGGACAGGACGAUGGAAGGACCUUGUUUCUGUCUUGACCCACCACAGACACAGAGUGAAGCCGGUGCUGGGAGGAGUGCUCACGUCCAGCAGCAGACGAGCACGGGCUGGCAGUGCGCGCCGGGCAGCCCCCGUACUCUCCUGGGAGGUGGGCUGGGGGUAUGGGGGGAGGCGCUCCUUCUGGACGGAAGGCCUGGCUUGCUGUCCAGCUCCUGGCAGACACUCUCCUGCAGUCACAUUCUAAGUGCAGCUCUGUCCCAGGUGUGAUGCGGGAGUGGGGACCCCUGAUCCUGGGGGGAGGGUGGGGUGAGUGGAGUCACAGGUCGGGUCUGAGGGAGGCAGGGGCUGGGGCUGGAGUUAUCAAACCCCUCACCAGCUGGUCCAGCCCACACCUGCCCAGUGUUCUAGGUAAACACUUCCCAGUGUCAUGGGUCAAAAGACACCACUAUGUCAAAAAUAGUCUGUACUCCUCGCUGUUAAAAUACACAGAGAAACUAUGUAUCUGCCAGACUUCGGCUUGUAAAGAACAGAUUGCACCAUCCUGUCGGGGUGCCUCGAUGGGCCCAGACCAGGGAAGCCCUGUAGUCUCAGGAGCAGCUCAUGCCCCCUGCCCCUGCCGCACCGCCCCCACCGCGCUGCCCCCCGGGUAGGUGACCCCAGAACCCUCCAGCAUCCCUUCCGCACCUGCCACACAGCUUAAAUCGUCCAGUGUUGACUCAUGCUUGGAUCUUAAACUUCCCUAGAACAGUUCCUUGAAUAUUUCAGUUUAUUUAAUCUCUCUAUGUUGUGUUUUUACACCUAGCUGUAACUCUGCUCAA